CGCGUAGGCGGCUUGGCAAGUGGAAGGUGAAAUCCCUCGGCUCAACCGAGGAACUGCCUUCUAAACUGCUUUGAUUGAGUCCGGGAGAGGUCAGUGGAAUUCCCAGUGUAGCGGUGAAAUGCGUAGAUAUUGGGAGGAACACCAGUGGCGAAGGCGGCUGACUGGACCGGUACUGACGCUGAGGCGCGAAAGCGUGGGAGCAAACG
rnacentral:rRNA from 1 species